rnacentral:rRNA from 1 species
GAUGAACGCUGGCGGCGUGCCUAAUACAUGCAAGUCGAGCGAAUGGAUUAAGAGCUUGCUCUUAUGAAGUUAGCGGCGGACGGGUGAGUAACACGUGGGUAACCUGCCCAUAAGACUGGGAUAACUCCGGGAAACCGGGGCUAAUACCGGAUAACAUUUUGAACCGCAUGGUUCGAAAUUGAAAGGCGGCUUCGGCUGUCACUUAUGGAUGGACCCGCGUCGCAUUAGCUAGUUGGGGAGGUAACGGCUCACCAAGGCAACGAUGCGUAGCCGACCGUGGAGGGUGAGCGGCCACGCUGGGACUGAGACACGGCCCAGACUCCGACGGGAGGCAGCAGUAGGGAAUCUUCCGCAAUGGACGAAAGUCUGACGGAGCAACGCCGCGUGAGUGAUGAAGGCUUUCGGGUCGUAAAACUCUGUUGUUAGGGAAGAACAAGUGCUAGUUGAAUAAGCUGGCACCUUGACGGUACCUAACCAGAAAGCCACGGCUAACUACGUGCCAGCCGCCGCAGUAA